UGGAAUUCCAGGGGAUCAGCCUGGAGGAGCGGAAGGAGGGGCCGGUGCGCCGUCAGAAGACUGUCAUCAGCCGGCAGUGUGAGCUCAGUAUUACCGUUUAUUGGUGACAAACUCUUGAGUUUUAUUUACAUAACAUGGGAGAAGAUCUUCUAGUGUAAACAAUCAUUUGGCGUAGUACUGAACUUGCAAGGCUACCAUGCUUUUCAUCUGGAUCAUAUGCAGGACCUUGUCAGACACAUUUCUGUGCACAGUUGUGUGAUGUCAAGAGCAACACGGUUUAGAGGAAGACUCUGCCCACACCAACAGAGUUUAAAGGUCAAUAUUUUUCUCAAUGAAGACACCCAAGACAGAUUUGUAAAAUUUCCAAGAGACCUAAGGCAGAGCGGAGAAAUUUGCAUGACUCUUGAUCCAACGAAGUUUCAAUCGGACUUGACAGGCUGGAAGCACCGUUGAAAACAAGAAGAUGAAAUGAAACUCAGAAAAAUGUAAACAACUCAUUUUGUCUGGGGAAAAAAAAAAGAAAAAUCAAUGCCAGGGAUUCUGCAAAUUCUAAAGGUUCCACAAGGAAGAACUUGUCUCUGCUGAAUGCAAUGUCAGAUGUGGAGGUUGUGGGAGCCACUUUCAAGGUGUCUUCACUCACUUGGGGACCCGAGUGGAACAGUGCUUCAACUUCCAUUUGGACAUCCAUUUCUUCACCUGACUAUUUCUGCUUCUGGGGGCGAUCCUUGAUCCAGACCUUGCUAAUCAAAACACUGGUACGAGCAGUCGCCAGAUUGACCCCUGAGCUGGCCCCACCUGUUGGAUGUCCUGGCUUGUGGACUGGUCCCUGCUUGUCCCCCAGGCCCACCUCUCUCUCCACUUGGAUGCAGAGCGAUCUCAGGGGGUCCUGAUUGUCUCCAGCUUCUCGCCUGGCACUUCGGCUUCCCUGGUGGCUCAGAU